rnacentral:rRNA from 1 species
UACGGAGGGUGCAAGCGUUGUCCGGAUUUAUUGGGUUUAAAGGGUGCGUAGGCGGCCUGUUAAGUCAGUGGUGAAAGCCUCCAGCUCAACUGGAGAACUGCCAUUGAUACUGGCGGGCUUGAGUACAGACGAGGUAGGCGGAAUUGAUUGUGUAGCGGUGAAAUGCAUAGAUACAAUCAAGAACACCGAUUGCGUAGGCAGCUUACUAGGCUGUAACUGACGCUGAGGCACGAAAGCGUGGGGAGCGAACAGG